rnacentral:rRNA from 1 species
UACAGAGGUCCCAAGCGUUGUUCGGAUUCACUGGGCGUAAAGGGUGCGUAGGCGGCUUGUCGCGUCGAAUGUGAAAACUCGGGGCUCAACCCCGCGCUUGCAUUCGAUACGGGCAGGCUCGAGUUCGGUAGGGGAGACUGGAAUUCCUGGUGUAGCGGUGAAAUGCGCAGAUAUCAGGAGGAACACCGGUGGCGAAGGCGGUUCUCUGGGCCUUACCUGACACUGAGGAGCGAAAGCGUGGGGAGCGAACAGG